AAUUCUGUCUCUCCGUUUCCAACAGCAGAUAGCUGGCCCAGCACGUGUGAACUGUGCCUACCCUUGUUCCUCCAGUGCUCAGGGCUGGUUCGACCCUCUGUUCUGGGAACAGACCCACCCUUGGGAAUGCCACACAGUCGUGGCUCAGAAAGAAGAUCUCGAUAGAAAGGAAAUAAAAACAGAAGCAAGGAGACCAGCUAAGGAGGCUGUUGUGGUAACUCAGAAGAAGGAUGAUGAUGGCCUGAAUUAAAGUAGAUGGAAAGAGGUAGAUGGACUUAAGAGACAUUUACUUAGGAGGAAGAAUCAAUUGUCAGGAACUGGCGAUCGAUAGAACAUAAA
rnacentral:lncRNA from 1 species